UUAACAUGCAGUCGAACGGCAGCACGGACUUCGGUCUGGUGUUCAGUGGCGAACGGGUGAGUAAUGUAUCGGAACGUGCCCGGUAGCGGGGGAUAACUACCCGAAAGCGUAGCUAAUACCGCAUACGCCCUACGGGGGAAAGCAGGGGAUCGCAAGACCUUGCACUAUUGGAGCGGCCGAUAUCGGAUUAGCUAGUUGGUGGGGUAACGGCUCACCAAGGCGACGAUCCGUAGCUGGUUUGAGAGGACGACCAGCCACACUGGGACUGAGACACGGCCCAGACUCCUACGGGAGGCAGCAGUGGGGAAUUUUGGACAAUGGGGGAAACCCUGAUCCAGCCAUCCCGCGUGUGCGAUGAAGGCCUUCGGGUUGUAAAGCACUUUUGGUUGGAAAGAAAGGUCGCGGGUUAAUACCCCGCGAAACUGACGGUACCUGCAGAAUAAGCACCGGCUAACUACGUGCCAGCAGCCGCGGUAAUACGUAGGGUGCAAGCGUUAAUCGGAAUUACUGGGCGUAAAGCGUGCGCAGGCGGUUCGGAAAGAAAGAUGUGAAAUCCCAGAGCUUAACUUUGGAACUGCAUUUUUAACUACCGGGCUAGAGUGUGUCAGAGGGAGGUGGAAUUCCGCGUGUAGCAGUGAAAUGCGUAGAUAUGCGGAGGAACACCGAUGGCGAAGGCAGCCUCCUGGGAUAACACUGACGCUCAUGCACGAAAGCGUGGGGAGCAAACAGGAUUAGAUACCCUGGUAGUCCACGCCCGAAACGAUGUCAGACUAGCUGUUGGGGAUCUUCUGACAUCGUUAGCGCACCUAUCGCGUGAAGUUGACCGCCUGGGGGAGUACAGUCGCACGAUUAUAACUCACAAGUAAUUGACGGGGACGCGCACACGAGGUGGAUGAUGUGUAUUAUAUCUAUGCACGCGAAAAAAACUUACCUAUGCUUGUCAUGUCUGGAAUACUUUACAGAUUUGGCUGUGCUGCGUACGAGACUGGAACACAGUGCUGCAUGCUGUCGUCAGCUCGUGUCGUGAGAUGUGAUAGUCCCGCUACGAGCGCCACCUUGUCAUAGUGACUACACGCGACUCUUAUGACUACUGCAGUGACAUCGAAGCAGGUGGAAUGACGUCAAUCCUCAUGCCCUGGGCUUAGGCUCAGCCUCAACAUGUCAGGAC
rnacentral:rRNA from 1 species